UACAGAGGUCUCAAGCGUUGCUCGGAAUUACUGGGCGUAAAGCGCACGUAGGCGGCUUUCUAAGUCGGGGGUGAAAUCCUGGAGCUCAACUCCAGAACUGCCUUCGAUACUGGAAGCUCGAGUCCGGGAGAGGUGAGUGGAACUGCGAGUGUAGAGGUGAAAUUCGUAGAUAUUCGCAAGAACGCCAGUGGCGAAGGCGGCUCACUGGCCCGGUACUGACGCUGAGGUGCGAAAGCGUGGGGAGCAAACAGG
rnacentral:rRNA from 1 species